CUUAAUUGUUAAUAUUAACAUUGUAUACAGCAUAGCCCAACUAUAAUAGGAUCCAUACUAGAUAAUCCUAGAUAGUGUUAGAUACUGGAAAGUGUCACUAUGGCCGUGACCAGGAGAGGGCACUCAGUCCAGCCUGGGCUUUUCUCUCCCCAAGGCCAAACCCAUGGCAGCGUUGGGUGUGUGGUGAUUGUCCUGUCCUACACUGCAGAGAGCUCUCCUUAAGAACAAAAAGAGGCCUCAAGACAGUCUGCCUACUUAUUACGAGCUUUCCUUUAUUUUUUUAAUUUUUUG